AGUGAACGCUGGCGGUAGGCCUAACACAUGCAAGUCGAACGGCAGCACAGUAAGAGCUUGCUCUUACGGGUGGCGAGUGGCGGACGGGUGAGGAAUACAUCGGAAUCUACUUUUUCGUGGGGGAUAACGUGGGAAAACUUAGGUAAUACCGGAUAAGAACUUCGGGUGAAAGGAGGGGGACCUUGGACCUUGGGGGGUUGGAUGAGCCGAUGUCGGAUUAGCUAGUUGGCGGGGUAAAGGCCCACCAAGGCGACGAUCCGUAGCUGGUCUGAGAGGAUGAUCAGCCACACUGGAACUGAGACACGGUCCAGACUCCUACGGGAGGCAGCAGUGGGGAAUAUUGGACAAUGGGCGCAAGCCUGAUCCAGCCAUACCGCGUGGGUGAAGAAGGCCUUCGGGUUGUAAAGCCCUUUUGUUGGGAAAGAAAAGCAGCAGGUUAAUACCCCGCUGUUCUGACGGUACCCAAAGAAUAAGCACCGGCUAACUUCGUG
rnacentral:rRNA from 1 species